rnacentral:rRNA from 1 species
GGUGAGUAACGCGUAGGUAACCUGCCUUAAGGUCUGGGAUAGCCAUACGAAAGUAUGAUUAAUACUGGAUAUGCUCUUAUGAGUAAAGAUUCAUCGCCUUAAGAUGGGCCUGCGUUAGAUUAGCUUGUUGGUAGGGUAAUGGCCUACCAAGGCGACGAUCUAUAGCCGGGUUGAGAGACUGGCCGGCCACAUUGGGACUGAGACACGGCCCAGACUCCUACGGGAGGCAGCAGCUAAGAAUCUUCCGCAAUGGACGCAAGUCUGACGGAGCGGCGCCGCGUGAACGAUGAAGGCCUUACAGGUUGUAAAGUUCUUUUAUAGUAGACGAAAACUAAGCGUAGGCUUAGUUGACGGUAUUCUAUGAAUAAGGUCCGGCUAACUACGUGCCAGCAGCCGCGGUAAUACGUAGGGACCGAGCGUUGUUCGGAAUUAUUGGGCGUAAAGGGUACGUAGGCGGUCUAAUAAGUCAGAUGUGAAAACCCUGGGCUCAGCCUGAGGCCUGCGUCUGAUACUGUUAGGCUAGAGUUACGGAGAGGAAGUCGGAAUUCCUGGUGUAGGGGUGAAAUCUAUAGAUAUCAGGAAGAACACCGGUAGCGAAGGCGGACUUCUGGACGUAAACUGACGCUGAUGUACGAAAGUUAGGGUAGCAAACAGGAUUAGAGACCCUGGUAGUCCUAACCGUAAACGUUGUAUACUAGGUGGUGGCGUUUUGAUCGCGUCACUGCCGUAGCUAACGCAUUAAGUAUACCGCCUGGGGAGUAUGCCGGCAACGGUGAAACUCAAAGGAAUUGACGGGGGCCCGCACAAGCAGUGGAGCAUGUUGUUUAAUUCGAUGAUACGCGAGGGACCUUACCAGGUCUUGACAUAUACCCGGAUGUUCCAGAGAUGGAUCAGUCCUUCGGGACGGGUAUACAGGUGCUGCAUGGUUGUCGUCAGCUCGUGCCGUGAGGUGUUGGGUUAA